GGGUCAGUAGGUUGGUCGUGCCACCGGUACGUACUGGUCUCACUGAUUCCUCCUUCCUGAAGAACCGUAAUGCCAUUAAUUUGUUGUUUCGGGGAAACAGGACUGUUACUUUGAAAAAAUUAGAGUGUUUAAAGCAUGCUAACGCUUGAAUACAUUAGCAUGGAAUAAUGAAAUAGGACGAUCGAUCCUAUUUUGUUGGUUUCUAGGAUUGACGUA
rnacentral:rRNA from 1 species